AGCAGCCGCGGUAAUUCCAGCUCCAAUAGCGUAUAUUAAAGUUGUUGCAGUUAAAAGCUCGUAGUUGAAUUUCGGGAUUGACGUAAUGGUCGUGCCUUAAGGGGUAUGAACUGUUACUGUUGAUUUCUCACCUUCUGGAGAAUCUUGAUGUCCUUAAUUGGGUGUCUUGUGGAUCCAGGACCUUUACCUUGAAAAAAUUAGAGUGUUUAAAGCAGGCAUUUUGCUCGAAUACAUUAGCAUGGAAUAAUAGAAUAGGACGGCAUGGUUCUAUUUUGUUGGUUUCUAGGAUCACCGUAAUGAUUAAUAGGGAUAGUUGGGGGCAUUAGUAUCCAAUUGUCAGAGGUGAAAUUCUUGGAUUUAUUGAAGACUAACUACUGCGAAAGCAUUUGCCAAGGAUGUUUUCAUUAAUCAAGAACGAAAGUUAGGGAUCGAAGACGAUCAGAUACCGUCGUAGUCUUAACCAUAAACUAUGCCGACUA
rnacentral:misc_RNA from 1 species